rnacentral:lncRNA from 1 species
UGAAUAUUCCCUUCGUAAUACAUGAAAUACAGCGUAAAGUGACCAACCAUGAAAGUCGAACAAGAAACCAAGACAACGAACUGAUCAAACAUAUCUACCAAUGGACGAAUACACAGAAGACUCAAGCGAACGUGGCUACAAGAUUUAAUAAAACAGUGAAAUAAACCUAUAAGACGAAGCAUCAUUGGAUGCUCCUCCUUCCUUGCUUAAAAUUUCAUUCAAACUUACUUAAAACUUUUAAGAAAUUGAUUGUAAAUAAAAGUUCAUAAGGAGAAAAAAAUAUAUACAAAUGUUAUUUUAAUUCCGAUAUACCUACCUUUAAAGACAUUACAAAAGACAGCAAACAUACCAUUGUAGGUUUAGAAUUAGAGGAAAUUGAAAAUAUUUUAAGUAGUUGAGUAAAUGUUGUUUAAGUAAAUGAAUUUUGUACAAA